AUGGAGUAUUCAGAGGGAGAGAGAGAACUCAAGGUUGAAGAGGAGCUGCAGAGAAGAUUGAAGAUGAAGAUGAGAGGAUCUAGAAAGGACAGAGAGGAAGAAGAUUUCUUUAUAAAAUCAAUUCCCCUGAAUCGUCCAGAGAUUGAAGGUUAUGUAGCCGAAGAGAGUUUGUUACAGAUUAGUGUAUGA